GACGAACCGUGCGAACGUUGUUCGGAAUCACUGGGCUUAAAGGGCGCGUAGGCGGCUUCGCAAGUCCGGGGUGAAAGCCCCCAGCUCAACUGGGGAAGUGCCUUGGAUACUGCGGGGCUCGAGGGAGGUAGGGGUGCGUGGAACUUCCGGUGGAGCGGUGAAAUGCGUUGAUAUCGGAAGGAACGCCGGUGGCGAAGGCGGUUCUCUGGGACGGUACUGGACGCUGAGACGCGGAAAGCGUGGGGAGCGAACAGG
rnacentral:rRNA from 1 species